UUUAAUUCGAUGCAACGCGAAGAACCUUACCUGGUCUUGACAUCCACGGAAGUUUUCAGAGAUGAGAAUGUGCCUUCGGGAACCGUGAGACAGGUGCUGCAUGGCUGUCGUCAGCUCGUGUUGUGAAAUGUUGGGUUAAGUCCCGCAACGAGCGCAACCCUUAUCCUUUGUUGCCAGCGGUCCGGCCGGGAACUCAAAGGAGACUGCCAGUGAUAAACUGGAGGAAGGUGGGGAUGACGUCAAGUCAUCAUGGCCCUUACGACCAGGGCUACACACGUGCUACAAUGGCGCAUACAAAGAGAAGCGACCUCGCGAGAGCAAGCGGACCUCAUAAAGUGCGUCGUAGUCCGGAUUGGAGUCUGCAACUCGACUCCUGAAGUCGGAAUCGCUAGUAAUCGUGGAUCAGAAUGCCA
rnacentral:rRNA from 1 species